GUGUCGUUUCUUACUCCAAUCCAUUUCCGUACUCCAACAAGCAAUCGCCGCCUGCGGCACGCUGAUGCCGACCAUCGCCAUGCGAAUCGAAGCUGUCGCCCUCACCGUCGCUGGCUCGCUGCUGCCCAUGCACAAGGCCGUGGCAUUAAUUGGACGUGCUGGCUCAGGGGUGAGUGUUGAGCGACAGCGUGGGGUUUUGCGAGGGACGGAUCAUGGAUUCGGGUCGGCCAUGGACUCCAUCCGGACAACUGUGAAGUCGCUCGACUCCACGGCAAACCCACACGCUUGGAUUGAUGCAGAAGCUGGAGUGGACCUCGCGGUGGCGACGGUGGUGGGGUUGAUGAAGCCGACGCUGGCGGAGAAGGAAGCUUCAAGUGAGGUAUAACUGUAUAAGUGCGUUGGCGGAGUUGCUCUUGAGUGUACAUAUGAUCCAUAUAAUGUUAAGUAUAGUGUUUCUUCCAUGGGAGACGAGGAUUCCAUUGUUCAGCUUAACUCCCAGUGCAUGAAGGUGAAUCCAUAGAAAGUGGUUUGAUCAAAGGAUUCAAAUAUCACUUGUUACUGUUAUGGAUCUUAUUGGUAAACUUUUGAUAGUUUUGAUAUCCAUGAGUGAUACUAGGGCAGCCUUCAAUGUAUCUCAAUACAUAGUCAGAGAGUAACUGUGAUAUGUAAAAAGUAAGAGUUUGAUCUACAAUAAUUGCAGUUCUCAUAUUAAAUGUGAAAGCACCAAAUUGCAUUACUUGUCAUCAAUAAUAUCAAUGAGGUCUACACCAUAUCCGAUAACAGUUGACUUUUCAAAAUACAAGAAAUGGAAUGUCAGACUUGGGUAAGACAAUUUCCUAAUUUGAGAGUUUUCUUGUCAAUUUCUCAAGUGUUUCAUAUUGAAUUGUUCAAAUCAUAGCUCUAAAUUUCAGAUCAGCAUCAGCCCUGGCUUUUAAUAGCUGAAAAUAAUGCAUAAUGAAUUGUGACCUUGUGAAGUUGGAAGCAUUUCAUGAUUACAACAUGACAUUUAAGGGCUUGUUGCUCCCUUGCUUUAAGCAUUCACAUUUUUCUCCAUCAAUUAUUCAAUUGUCAUUUUAAACCACACCACCAUUGAUAUUUUUAUGUUACCAUUUUUACAUUAUUCUCACAAAUCACAACUCCCAUUGCCAUGUACAAGGUGGACAAGACUUUGAUGUCGAAGAGCUUGUUAAUUAAUUAAACUUAAACAAGAUUUUGGAAUCUCAUGGAAUACCAGAGACUGCACCAAUUUCUUUAUAUGAAGUCUCUUGGUCAAGGAGAUGCCUUCUUAGAUCCUUAUCCUCUACAACUUGUGCUGCUUUCUCUUCACUCUUCCCCCAGAGAACAAAGUAGAGUCCAAGAACAAUAAGGAUGGAUCCAAUUAUCCUAUAGAAAAUAAAAAAGUGAAUCCAUCAAAUUAAUUAGUAUGUUAUAUAUGAAAUUGAAAAUUUUGCCUUACCCUCCUAAGUACAACUCAUCACCAAGUAUCGCAGUUGCCAUGAUGGCCACCACCACAGUCUGCACUGGUUGGAAGACUGCAACAAAUAGAGGACCUCCUCUAUCGAUGCACCAAAUCUGGAGGGAGAAAGAAAUUCCUGAUGCCACAAGACCCUGUAAAAAAAUAUAGCAAUCACAAGAACCAUAUUUAAGCAAUUUGAUCACUAAAAAGUAAAAAUAAUAUAUCAUCUACAUCAACUUUUUGAAUUAUGAAAACCGUCACAAAAGCAUAAUAAUGACUAUGGUCAUCUGCGAUGGCUUCUCCUUGCAGCAGAAGGUCUUCUACGACAGCAUAGAGGAUUGUGAGCAGCUCUCCUCCUGAGUGGACUUUCCACCUCUCAAUGUCCUUCUCUGCAAAGGCUGCUAUGAUGAGGAACUGGAUUAGACCGAAGAAGCAGGUGAUUGUGGUGACUGAGAGCCUUGCAGGGUACUUCUUGAGCACUGGAACCUGUGUAUAAUUGAGACAAGGAGGAAAAGUGUAUGAUCAAGUUACUGAAACAAGAACCAUCCUCUUCUGCUGGAAACUAUGUGCCCAGAAACACAAACAAGGUGAGCAGGUGACAGUGGCUAGCCUGCGACAAGGUCCAUGAGUGGAAGGUUGAUGGAAGAGCCCCACUUGGUUCAUGUGGUUAGUAGGUCUUCAAGAACAAGUUGAGAAUGGAGGCCAUGAUAUGUGAUUUUCACUUUUCAGACAAGUCUCUUCCCAAUUAUUAGGAGUGGCUGCACGUGUUGAUCAAUUAUUGGCUCUGCCAUUUGUGUUUUCUGCAAACUGAGAGAAAAAAAAUGUUUUUGUAUUGGAGAAUAAAUUUAAAAAAUAUUUAUUUGAUUUUUUGGUGCCUAAUGCGAGACAAAGGCCCAUUGGGCCCAUUGA